UUUGGCAGCUGUGAACUGCCAGUGAUGUUGAAUUGUCCUGUCUGAUCUCGUUGUAUCAUCUCUUUGCUCACAGAUUGAAACUAUGAAAUCAUUAAGAUGCCUUUUGAAUUUCUGUAACAGUGUGUGUUUGGUGUUGUGAUAUAAACUUCCAACUCCCAAUUUUGUUGUGUCAUCUCUGGCCCUAUUCUGUCCAUACUAUUUGGUACAUGUCCUGGAGUUCUCUUCUUCACAUUACCCUCUUCAAGAGGAUUAUUAACCUGCUUUAUUCCUAAUAUCAAACUUCGUGUGCCUGAAGAACCUGGGAAGUGGUAAUUGGAGCCCAGCCUGUAUAUCCUGUGGCAUUUAGACUGUAAAGCAGCCAUACAUUAGUUUGGAUAUAAGAAACAGCAAGGGCAGUUUUGUCCUCUUAUAGGACAGGAAAGCCAUUUACCUAUUGGAAUGAGUCCAGAGGAGAGUUAUUAAGUUGAUUGCAGGGCUGGAACAUCUCUUGAGAA